UACGUAGGGGGCAAGCGUUGUCCGGAAUCAUUGGGCGUAAAGCGCGCGUAGGUGGCCCAGUAAGUCCGUUGUGAAAGUCAAAGGCUCAACCUUUGAAAGCCGAUGGAUACUGCUGGGCUCGAGUCCGGAAGAGCGAGUGGAAUUCCUGGUGUAGCGGUGGAAUGCGCAGAUAUCAGGAGGAACACCAAUAGCGAAGGCAGCUCGCUGGGACGG
rnacentral:rRNA from 1 species